rnacentral:lncRNA from 1 species
UCGAUCUCCUGAGCUAUCGUCCUCCUACAACGCAAGCAUAUUUCUACUUAAUACCACCUUGACUCUGGUUGACUAAUACCACGGAGUCAAACCAGUCAACUUUGGUCAACGGUCAACGGUUGACCCGACUCGCCGAGUCUGGCAUGGACUCGCCGAGUCCUGACGGGAACCUGAUCUCUCUGAAUCGCUUUCGACUCACAGAGUCACUCACCCGACUCGGUGACUCAGUCCCUGGUCCGUAAUCUCUGAACAACCCGCACCAACUCGCCGAGUCUGGGAUUGGACUCGGCGAGUCCAUUUNCAUGCACAACCUCAAACGACCUUCUAAGGUCAGAUCCACUCUAGUAACUCAUAGAUCCAGUCCCCUUAAGCUUAUUGACCACGUAAAGUCCGAGUCUUGGUGCUCAUUAAGCAUCAAAUAGCUUAUUAAUGGAGUUUUAGCCUCAAAUACAUAGAUCCCAAUAUAAAACCUCCAUGGAUGCACAUAAAGCUUGGGCACGGAGGUGCUAUGGACCUCUAUGGGUCCAGAUUCAGAGCCAUAACUCUCCAAGAGACCAAGAGGAUGCUAGAUCUAGCCACAAAUGGGUUCAACAACCCUAAAUCUAUAUGAACAUCACAAUAACAAAGAAGGAUUCGAAUGGUACCUCAGAUCUGAUGUCCUGGACCUUAGCUCUUCAAGAAUCCACCCUUCUCUUGCUUCCUCUUGGCUAGAUCUUCUCUUCCCUUGCUAGACAACAACUCCAAGAAUCAACAAUGGCUCCUUCCCUCACUUGAAUCACUCAAAUGCUCUAGGUUUUCACUCUAGGGACUAAUGAGCACAAAUGACGGCCAUAAGGCCCUUUAAAUAGGCCUUAAACCCGAGAAAUUAGGGUUUCAUUAAACAGCGCAGACUCGCCGAGUCCGGGCAUCAAUCCGGGUGAAACCCCGCGUCUCAACUCGGCGAGUCUACGCACCAACUCGCCGAGUCCCAUCACGAAACUCAAAAUAAGAGUUUAAUUAAUAUACCUGAAAUCCCGGAUGUUAAAAUUCUCCCCCACUAGAAUCCGACUUCGCCCUCGAAGUUUCAUUGCUGAAAUAACUUUGUAUGCUGUUCCCGCAUCUCCUGCUCCGGUUCCCAGGUCAAGUCGGAUCCCUUCCGAUGCUGCCACUGAACCUGUACCAGAGGCACUUCCUUGUUCCUCAGAACCUUGAUCUUUCGAUCCACAAUCGCAACUGGUCUCUCUGCGUAGUUCAGGCUCGCAUCCACCUGAAUAUCCUCCAACGGCACCACUGCCGACUCGUCGGCAAUGCAUUUCCUCAACUGAGAGACAUGAAAGGUAUCAUGGAUCUGCCCCAACUCAGCAGGUAGAUCCAACCGGUAGGCUACCCUACCUACCCUAGCAAUUACCCUGAAGGGUCCAAUAUACCGGGGUCCCAACUUGCCCCUCUUCCUGAAUCGUAUCACUCCUUUCCAAGGAGAGACCUUUAGGAGCACAAGGUCACCGACCUGAAACUCGAGCUCGUACCGACGCCUGUCCGCAUAAGUCUUCUAGCGACUCUGCAUGGUUAACAACCUCUUCCUGACCUACUGAAUCUGCUCGGUCGUCUGGAGUACAAUCUCCGUGCUACCCAUCACCCGCUGCCCCACCUCUCGCCAGCAGAUGGGGGUGCGACACCUCCGCCCAUACAACAGCUCAAAGGGUGGCAUACCAAUGCUCGAAUGAUGGCUGUUGUUAUACAAAAACUAUGCUAAAGGUAGGUAGGUGUCCCAGCUCCCUCCAAAAUCCAAAACACAUGCUCGGAGCAUAUCCUCAAGCGUUUGAAUCGUCCGCCCGCUCUGUCCGUCCGUCUGCGGGUGGUAUGUGGUACUGAAAUGCAGUCUCGUACCCAACUCCUCAUGAAACUUCUUCCAAAACCUGGAAGUAAAACGCACAUCCCGAUCUGAAACAAUCGACAUCGGAACCCCAUGCCGCGAUACCACCUCCCUCACAUAUAAUUCCGCCAAUUUCUCCGUAGAAGAGCUCUCGAUGAUGGCUAGAAAAUGAGCGCUCUUCGUCAAUCUAUCCACGAUCACCCAAAUCGCAUCAACUCCCCUCGCCAUCCGCGGCAAUUUGGUGAGAAAAUCCAUGGUAAUCUGUUCCCACUUCCAUUCGGGGAUCUCCAGCGGCUGCAAUUUACCGUGCGGACGCUGGUGCUCGGCCUUAACCUGACGACAAGUCAGGCACCUCUCAACGAACCAUGCAACAUCCCUCUUCAUACAGGGCCUCCAAUACUCAUUCUUUAGGUCCAAAUACAUCUUAGUAGCCCCGGGAUGAAUCGAGAAUUUCGAUCGAUGCACUUCCUCCAUCAAGAUAGUACGCGCACCGCCCAUAAAUGGUACCCAAAUCCGACCCUGAAAAGUCAUAAGUCCCCGACCAUCCGUAACGAAUUCCAAUACCUGACCAACCACCCGCUCCGUUUUCUGAUUUUCUGAUCUCGCAGCCUCAGCCUGAGCCCCUCGGAUGGUGUCCAAAAUCGGGGUCAUCACCGUCAGCCUCAAACAAAUGUCUCGCAUUGGGGCACUCUCUGCCCUACGAUUCAGGGCGUCGGCUACCACAUUAGCCUUGCCCGGGUGGUACAGGAUCUCACAAUCAUAAUCCUUUACCACAUCCAACCAUCUCCUCUGACGCAUAUUCAAAUUUGGCUGAUCCAUUAAGUACUUCAAGCUCUUGUGGUCCGUGUAUAUCGUACACCGAACCCCAUACAGAUAGUGACGCCAGAUCUUGAGGGCAAAAACCACAGCCCCCAACUCUAGAUCAUGGGUGGGAUAUCUCGUCUCAUAAGGCUUUAACUGCCUCGACGCAUAUGCGAUCACAUGCCCUCUCUGCAUCAACACUGCUCCCAACCCCGAUAUCGAUGCAUCACAGUACACCACAAAAUCCUCCAUCCCUUCCGGCAAUGCAAGCACGGGAGCUUCGCACAAUCUCUGGCGAAGAGUCUCAAAUGAGGUCUGCUGCUCCGGACCCCAUGAGAAAGUAACACCCUUCCGGGUUAACUUGGUAAGUGGCACAACAAUUUUGGAGAAAUCCCUGAUAAAUCUCCGAUAGUAGCCUGCCAGCCCCAAGAAACUCCAGAUUUCCGCAGGCGACCUCGACACUUCCCAACUCAUCACGGCCUCGAUCUUGGCCGGGUCAACCAAUAUCCCAUUCUGGUUAACGAGAUGCCCUAAGAACUGGACCUCUCGUAACCAAAAAUCGCACUUGGAGAAUUUGGCGAAUAGCCUCUCCGACCUCAGAACCCCGAGGAGCUCCCUCAAAUGCUCCUCAUGCUGCUCUCUGGUCCUCGAAUACACCAGGAUGUCAUCAAUGAAUACAAUUACUGAUCGAUCCAACAUCGGCCUACAUACCCUGUUCAUGAGGUCCAUGAAAGCCGCGGGUGCAUUGGUGAGCCCGAAUGGCAUCACCACAAACUCAUAUUGCCCGUAACGAGUCCUAAACGCCGUCUUCUAGAUAUCCUCAUCCCGAACUCUCAUCUGGUGAUAUCUCGACCUCAGGUCUAUCUUGGAGAACCAAGACGCCCUCUGCAAUUGAUCGAAUAGAUCAUCGAUCCUCGGUAGUGGAUAACGGUUCUUGACCGUCAACUUGUUCAGCUCCCGAUAAUCGAUGCACAUUCGGUGCGAACCAUCCUUUUUCUAGACAAAAAGGAUCGGCGCUCCCCAGGGAGAGCUACUGGGACGGAUGAACCCUUUCCCCAACAACUCCUGCAGCUGAGAGGAUAACUCCUGCAUCUCUGGCGGCGCUAGGCGAUAUGGCGCCUUAGCGAUAGGCGCAGCCCCGGGAAUCAAAUCGAUACGAAACUCCACUUGCCUCUCGGGAGGUACGCCCGGCAACUCCUCGGGGAACACGUCCCGGAACUCACGCACUAUCGGCACAUCAUCCACUGAACUUGGCCUCCCAAUGGCCUCUCGUACAUCCGUCACAUAGGCCACGAAUCCCUUGCAGCCCUGCUGCAAACUCCGCCUCGCUCUGGCAGCCAAACAGAAUACCAAACCACCACGAGUCCCCUCGCCAUAAACUAUCAGCACUCCCCCACUAGGAUCUCGGAUCGUCACCAACUGACGCUCGCAAUCUAUGACAGCCCCGAAACAGCUCAACCAAUCCAUGCCCACUAUAACACAAACAUCCCUCAUGGAAAUCGGUAUCAAGUCAAUUGGAAACUCCACUCCGAAGAUCUCCAGUACGCAUCCACGUAUCACCUCGGUAGCACAUACCUCACGCUCAUCAGCUUAGGGAAACCCGUAGAGGUCGACUCAACGCCUCCCUCGGAAUACUAAUGUGCCGACUAAAAGUCACAGAUACGAACGACCGACAUCGCACCCGAGUCAAACAACACUAAUGCAGGUACAGAACUCACAAGAAAAGUACCUACGCAUAACAUAUAAUCAUCAUAAUAUAAACUCAGCAUAAAUAAAUAAAGAAUAUGUACCUGCCACGACAUCAGGUGCCACGCGGACCUCCUCCGCUGUCAACUGAAAAGCUCUACCCCUAGCCUUCGGUGCUUCGGCCUUUACUGGCCGGGGCUCAGUAGCUCGAACUGCAGGUACGGAUCCCUGCACUGUCCUCUGAAGCUGGGGGCACUCGGCCUUCCGAUGGCCGGUUUGGUUGCAAUGGAAGCAAACCGAGAACCCCUUAGGACAAUCUCUCGCGAAAUGCCCUUCCUUUCCACACUUGUAGCAUACCCCAGACUUGCAUGACCCAUCAUGGCUCUUGCCGCACUUCCCACAAGUACGGCCCCUCGAACUACUCGUCCUCGAAUCAACGGGCCUUGCCCGCUUGGCGGCCGGCUGCGAUUGCACCGGUCGCCGAUCACCCCUCUAAGACUCGGCUUCCUCCCUCGCCUGCGUCUCAAGCUCGAUCUCCCUCUUCCGGGCAUUUGCCUGGAGCUUGGCAAAUGUCCGGUAAGUCGAGUUCGCCACGAACUCGUGAAUGUCCCUCCUCAGUAUACUCAGAUAAUGGCUCAUGCGAGCCUGCUUAGUGGACACCUGUUCCGGGCAUAACAAUGCCCACUCAUGAAACAUCCUCGUAAUCACUGUCACCGACUCAGUCCCCUGCUUGAGGGUCAGAAACUCCUGGGCUAAACGUUCCCUCUCUACUGGGGGAACAUACUUGUCACGAAACAUCGCAAUAAACCUCUCCCAGGUCAUUGCAGUCAGCUCAGCUAUCGAAUAGCUUGCGAUCACAAACUUCCACCAGUCCUUCGUCCCCAACCGAAGCUGGUUGAGGGCAAACCGCACCCUCAAGUGCUCCGGACACGAGCACGUAUAGAAACACCCCUCUAUGUCUGAGAUCCACCUCAUGGCGGUGAUCGGAUCCUGUGUACCAUCGAACUCUGUUGGUUUCGUGUUGGUGAACUCUCAGUACAACAACGAAUCACCACCCUGGGGUCUCGCAGCAGCAACAGCUGCUGUUGCUGCAGCAACAACAGCAUCAGUCAAAGCAGCGUAACGCUCGUCAAACGUCUUAAUCAGUGUGGUCUUAAUAGACCCAAACAUCUCCAGAAUCUCGGCUCUGAUGGCAGCAGCCACCUCCUCAUGGAUGAUCUGACGGAUCUCCUCAUCACUCACCCCACUGCCCUCGGUGGUAUGGCGUGUCCUGACCAUGAUCAAUCUCUGAAAUACAACAUAAGAACUAUUAGGGACACUUUCGAGCAUACUCACACUCGACAAAUCACUCUCAACUUCUGGUACCCCAAGGAUUCUUAUUUGGACUGCGCACCAAUCCGGUGUCUUCAAUAGUACGGGCCCAAUACUAUCGUCUACACCGAAUCAAUAUACAACCCAAGUCCUCCUCCUAGGAUCUCAAGUCAUAAAUACUCUACUCUCGACAUGCAUUCGCUACCCUCAGAAGACCUCUCACGAGCUCCUCACUGCUACAUACUCACUCUCAAAGUAUCUCAUAGCAGCAGCAAUCUCCUAGGCUAAAGCAUCACAAAUCAGGCCACUCUAGUCCUAAUAGGAAUACCUAGCCUCUGUAGCAUGCACAACAUAAUAUCUCAUAACAUAUAAUGUAAGGGUAUUUUGGGGAUUCACCAUUCGCGCGUUGGCUGACCGUACACACCAUCCACUCUGCUUGGUUCCAAAACCUCUUUUUCUUUUUAGAAAAUUUUAGUUUUGUUUGAAAAUUCCUCAAAUCCUCGGUUUGAGUUCAAAUACGCCCGAAGGUGCAUCCGAAUCCCUCAAACCAAGGCUCUGAUACCAACUUGUAACAACGUAAAAUUAUCAAUUUAAUUUUUCAUUUUUAAACCACAAAAUGUAUAUCAUAUCAAAAUCUCAAAAUCAUAACAGCAGUGUUUUCAAAACAAAUCUCAAGAUCUCUAUGACUUGAACUCCAUUGGUGUGGGUGUGUACAAGUCAAGCCGAUGCCUUCCCACGGUCCUCGCUGGUACCUGAGACAUCAAAUAUAACAACUGUAAGCAUAAUGCUUGGUGAGUUCCCCAAAAUACCACAUAUCACAAAUACGCCACUCAAGGCUAAACCCGACCCUCCGGUCAAGAUGUCUCAGCAAGACCCUCUAAUCCCGCAGCUCGUCGGACCCUCCGGUCCAGUCAUAACUUGUUGGGCCCUCUGGCCCGGUCAGUAUCUUUGGGCCCUCCGGCCCGGUAUAUAUAAUCAUGCAGCAUGCAAAUAACACAUAGCACGAAAUCUCUAAGACAACACAUAAACUCAUACAUAGCACAUGAGACCCUCUGGUCAACUCGAAAUACCUACUCAAGGUAAUGUAUAGUGAGAAGACUCACCUCGCGUAUCUUGGUAACUCGUAAAUCUCGUAACUACUAGUGCUCGAUCUCCCGAGCUAUCGUCCUCCUACAACACAAGCAUAACUCUACUUAAUACCACCUUGACUCUGUCUGACUAACACUAUAAAGUCAAACUAGUCAACCCUGGUCAACGGUCAACGGUUGACCCGACUCGCCGAGUCUGGCGUGGGCUCGCCGAGUNNNNNNNNNNNNNNNNNNNNNNNNNNNNNNNNNNNNNNNNNNNNNNNNNNNNNNNNNNNNNNNNNNNNNNNNNNNNNNNNNNNNNNNNNNNNNNNNNNNNNNNNNNNNNNNNNNNNNNNNNNNNNNNNNNNNNNNNNNNNNNNNNNNNNNNNNNNNNNNNNNNNNNNNNNNNNNNNNNNNNNNNNNNNNNNNNNNNNNNNUCCAUGCACAACCUCAAACGACCUUCUAAGGUCAGAUCCACUCUAGUAACUCAUAGAUCCAGUCCCCUUAAGCUUAUUGACCACGUAAAGUCCGAGUCUUGGUGCUCAUUAAGCAUCAAAUAGCUCAUUAUUGGAGUUUUAGCCUCAAAUACAUAGAUCCCAAUCUAAAACCUCCAUGGAUGCACAUAAUGCUUGGGCAAGGAGGUGCUCUGGACCUCUAUGGGUCCAGAUUCAGAGCCAUAACUCGCCAAGAGACCAAGAGGAUGCUAGAUCUAGCCACAAAUGGGUUCAAAAACCCUAAAUCUAUAUGAACAUCACAAUAACAAAGAAGGAUUCGAAUGGUACCUCAGAUGUGAUGUCCUGGACCUUAGCUCUUCAAGAAUCCACCCCUCUCUUUCUUCCUCUUGGCUAGAUCUUCUCUUCCCUUGCUAGACAACAACUCCAAGAAUCAACAAUGGCUCCUUCCCUCACUUGAAUCACUCAAAUGCUCUAGGGUUUCACUCUGGGGACUAAUGAGCGCAAAUGACGGCCAUAAGGCCCUUUAAAUAGGCCUCAAACCCGAGAAAUUAGGGUUUCAUUAAACAGCGCAGACUCGCCGAGUCUACCAAGGCGACUCGCCGAGUCCGGGCAUCAAUCCGGGUGAAAACCCGCGUCUCAACUCGGCGAGUCUACGCACCAACUCGCCGAGUCCCAUCACAAAACUCAAAAUAAGAGAUUAAUUAAUAUACCUGAAAUCCCGGAUGUUACAGCUAGACUGCUAAUUGACUAUUAUUUAACCUCAAUUACAUAAUACAUAAUCAAACUAUAGGAAAAUCGAAUCUCAAAAGGGAAAAUACAAGCACUCAAGAACAUUACCGUUUCAAAUUCAAUGAAGAAUUGAUUGACUGUGGAGAAACCAAGAGGCAAGAACACCAGCGAGAAGUAAAACAUUAGCGAUUUAGUCGACAACAAUGGAACAGUGGAAGAAUCGAUUGGAGAAGAAGGUAUGAAUCAAAUCCGAGAAUGGAGAAAACAACGGAAGUUUAAUCGUUGAAUGUUGACGUCGUCACAGCCUCGCAGGCGUGAUUGUAGUCUUUAGAAACGCAGGCUUUUUUUU